rfam:Mesocricetus auratus contig007876, whole genome shotgun sequence.
GGGGAUGCAGCUCAGUGGUAGAGCCCUCAUAUGGUGUUUGAGAGGCUCUGGGUUCAAUCCCCAAUGUAUCUCCA